rnacentral:rRNA from 1 species
AUUGCCUCAGUAACGGCGAGUGAAGCGGCAAGAGCUCAAAUUUGAAAUCUGGCCCCCUGGGGGUCCGAGUUGUAAUUUGCAGAGGAUGCUUCGGGUGCGGUCCCCAUCUAAGUGCCCUGGAACGGGCCGUCAUAGAGGGUGAGAAUCCCGUCUGGGAUGGGCGGCCGUGCCCGUGUGAAGCUCCUUCGACGAGUCGAGUUGUUUGGGAAUGCAGCUCUAAGCGGGUGGUAAAUUUCAUCUAAAGCUAAAUACUGGCCGGAGACCGAUAGCGCACAAGUAGAGUGAUCGAAAGAUGAAAAGCACUUUGAAAAGAGAGUUAAACAGCACGUGAAAUUGUUGAAAGGGAAGCGUUGUCCACCAGACUCGCCCGGGGGGGUUCAGCCGGCACUCGUGCCGGUGUACUCCUCUCCGGGCGGGCCAGCAUCGGUUUGGGCGGCUGGUGAAAGGCCCCGGGAAUGUAACACCCUCCGGGGUGCCUUAUAGCCCGGGGUGCCAUGCGGCCAGCCUGGACCGAGGCCCGCGCUUCGGCGAGGAUGCUGGCGUAAUGGUGGUCAACGGCCCGUCUUGAAACACGGACCAAGGAGUCUAACAUCUAUGCGAGUGUUCGGGUGUCAAACCCGUCCGCGCAGUGAAAGCGAACGGAGGUGGGAGCCCCCCGGGGUGCACCAUCGACCGAUCCUGAUGUCUUCGGAUGGAUUUGAGUAAGAGCAUAGCUGUUGGGACCCGAAAGAUGGUGAACUAUGCCUGAAUAGGGCGAAGCCAGAGGAAACUCUGGUGGAGGCUCGCAGCGGUUCUGACGUGCAAAUCGAUCGUCAAAUUUGGGUAUAGGGGCGAAAGACUAAUCGAACCAUCUGGUAGCUGGUUCCUGCCGAAGUUUCCCUCAGGAUAGCAGUAACGACAUCAGUUUUAUGAGGUAGAGCGAAUGAUUAGAGGCCUUGGGGUUGAAACAACCUUAACCUAUUCUCAAACUUUAAAUAUGUAAGAAGCCCUUGUUGCUUAGUUGAACGUGGGCGUUAGAAUGAAACGUUACUAGUGGGGCAUUUUUUGGUAAGCAAAACUGGCGAUGCCGGGAUGA